rnacentral:rRNA from 1 species
UACGUAGGGUGCAAGCGUUGUCCGGAAUUAUUGGGCGUAAAGAGCUCGUAGGCGGUUUGUUGCGUCGGCUGUGAAAUCCCGAGGCUCAACCUCGGGUCUGCAGUCGAUACGAGCAAACUAGAGUGUUGCAGGGGAGACUGGAAUUCCUGGUGUAGCGGUGGAAUGCGCAGAUAUCAGGAGGAACACCGAUGGCGAAGGCAGGUCACUGGGCCGCAACUGACGCUGAGGAGCGAAAGCGUGGGGAGCAAACAGG